rnacentral:rRNA from 1 species
UCAAGCUACAAAGAGCACAAGGGGAAUGCCUUGGCACCGAGAGCCGAAGAAGGACGUGACUAACUGCGAUAAGCUGCGGGGAGCCGUAAGUAGGCUUUGAUCCGCAGAUUUCCGAAUGGAGCAAUCCGGCAAGAGGAAAGUCUUGUCAUCAUAUACUGAAUACAUAGGUAUAUGAGGGGAACCGCCUGAACUGAAACAUCUAAGUAGGGCGAGGAAGAGAAAUCAACUGAGAUUCCGUAAGUAGUGGCGAGCGAACGCGGAAGAGGCCAAACCGAGAGUAGUAAUACUUUCGGGGUUCGGACAGAAUACGGUAUUGUAAAGGUUUAGUGGAAUGGAAUGGGAAGUCCAACCGAAGAAGGUGAGAGUCCUGUACACGAAAAGCCUGAACAGCCAUCUGUAUCCAGAGUACCGCCGGACACGUGAAACCCGGUGGGAAUACGGGGGGACCACCCUCCAAGCCUAAAUACUACCCAGUGACCGAUAGCGUAUAGUACUGUGAAGGAAAGGUGAAAAGCACCCCGGGAGGGGAGUGAAAUAGAACCUGAAACCCUGUGCUUACAAGCACCGAGAGCACGUCAAUGUGUGAUCGGGUACCUUUUGUAGAAUGGUCCGGCGAGCGUAUGUAUGUAGCAAGGUUAAGAACUUAAGGUUCGAAGCCGCAGGGAAACCAAGUCUGAAUAGGGCGAAUGAGUUGCAUGCAUAGGGCCCGAAACCAGGUGACCUAGCCAUGUCCAGGUUGAAGUGAGAGUAAAAUCUCAUGGAGGACCGAACCGACCUCCGUUGAAAAGGCGGCGGAUGAGGUGUGGCUAGCGGAGAAAUUCCAAUCGAACUCGGAUAUAGCUGGUUCUCCUCGAAAUAGCUUUAGGGCUAGCGUUGUGAAUGAUUACCGGAGGUAAAGCACUGAAUGGGCUAGGGGACGAAAGUUUACUGAACCCUAUCAAACUAAGAAUGCCGGAUAAUAGAGAUCACAGCAGUCAGACUGUGUGAGAUAAGUCUCAUAGUCAAAAGGGAAAGAGCCCAGACCCACAGCUAAGGUCCCAAAAUAGAUUUAAGUGGAAAAGGAUGUGGGGUUGCCCAGACAACCAGGAUGUUGGCUUAGAAGCAGCCAAACAUUAAAAGAGUGCGUAAUAGCUCACUGGUCGAGUGACCCUGCGCCGAAAAUUCAUCGGGGCUAAAAUGUACACCGAAGCUUGGGAUGAUGACUUUGUCAUCGUGGUAGGAGAGCGUCGUAUAAGGGGUGAAGUCAGAGCGGAAGCGCUGGUGGACUUUAUACGAGUGAGAAUGCCGGAAUGAGUAGCGAGAAUUAUGUGAGAAUCAUAAUGGCCGAAAGUCUAAGGUUUUAGGAGGAAGGUUCGUCCGCUCCUAGUAAGCCGGGAGCUAAGGUGAGGCGGAAACGCGUAGCCGAUGCACAUACGGUAGAAAAUCCGUAGCCUCCAAAAUAUUUAAGCACAGUGACACUAGGAAAGUCUUUAGCCGGGUGAUGGUUACCCCGGUCGAAAGGGACUGCGAAAGCGGGAAGUAAAGAUGGACAGAGGCGAGAAAAGCUGUGUGUAUAUAUGAGGAGCCCGUACCGCAAACCGACACAGGUAGACAGGAAGAGAAUUCUAAGGCCAACGGGAGAAAGGUUGUUAAGGAACUCGGCAAGUUGACCCCGUAACUUAGGGAUAAGGGGUGCUCAAGAAAUUGAGCCGCAGAGAAUAGGCCCAAGCGACUGUUUAGCAAAAACACAGCUCUAUGCUAAAUCGAAAGAUGACGUAUAUGGGGUGACACCUGCCCGGUGCUGGAAGGUUAAGAGGAGAAGUGAGAGCUUUGAAUUGAAGCCCCAGUAAACGGCGGCCGUAACUAUAACGGUCCUAAGGUAGCGAAAUUCCUUGUCGGGUAAGUUCCGACCUGCACGAAUGGCGUAACGACUUCUCCACUGUCUCAACCACGAACUCGGCGAAAUUGCACUACGAGUAAAGAUGCUCGUUACGCGCAGCAGGACGGAAAGACCCCGGGACCUUUACUAUAGUUUGGUAUUGGUGAUCGGUACGACUUGUGUAGGAUAGGUGGGAGACUGUGAAGCUUGGACGCUAGUUCAGGUGGAGUCAUUGUUGAAAUACCACUCUGGUCGUUCUGGUUAUCUAACUUCGGACCAUGAUCUGGUUCAGGGACAGUGCCUGAUGGGUAGUUUGACUGGGGCGGUCGCCUCCCAAAAGGUAACGGAGGCGCCCAAAGGUUCCCUCAGGCUGGUCGGUAAUCAGCCGUCGAGUGUAAAGGCAGAAGGGAGCUUGACUGCGAGAGCGACAGUUCGAGCAGAGACGAAAGUCGGGCUUAGUGAUCCGGUGGUUCUGCGUGGAAGGGCCAUCGCUCAACGGAUAAAAGGUACGCCGGGGAUAACAGGCUGAUCUCCCCCAAGAGUUCACAUCGACGGGGAGGUUUGGCACCUCGAUGUCGACUCAUCGCAUCCUGGGGCUGAAGCUGGUCCCAAGGGUUAGGCUGUUCGCCUAUUAAAGCGGUACGAGAGUUGGGUUCAGAACGUCGUGAGACAGUUCGGUCCCUAUCUGUUGUGGGCGGAGGAGAGUUGAGAGGGGCGUUCACUAGUACGAGAGGACUGUGAAGGAUGAACCUCUGGUGUGCCGGUUGUCGUGCCAACGGCAGUGCCGGGUAGCUAUGUUCAGUUGGGAUAACCGCUGAAAGCAUCUAAGCGGGAAGCCUGCCUCAAGAUAAGCUCUCCCGGGGCGCAAGCCCCCUAAAGGACACUUGUAGACUACGAGUUUGAUAGGCUGGGUGUGGAAGGCUCGUAAGGGCUGUAGCUAACCAGUACUAAUCGUCCGUGCGGCUUAACAU